ACAACAACAUUUGGACAUGUACAUGGAUAGGAAUGGUAUCAAUGUAUAAGAUUGGAAAUGCUUUGGAAUGAUGGUUUAGAAAAUUCCUUUAUGUGUUUCGUGCAUAACAUCUGUGCUUAUUUUUCUGACAGAUAAUUCCUCUCCAAAUCCAAUUAUUCCUCUGACAGAUAAUUCCUAUCCAAAACAAAUUAUUAUUAUUGGCAUCGUGGUUUCUCUGAUCUUCAUCCUGGCAGUGGUGUUGUUUCUGGGAAUUUGUAAGCUGAGAGGUUUGGGAAAUGAAGCACAGAGACCUCCACAAUCAAAGAGGAAAGCGGAAGAUAAAUCUCAACUUUCCUCAAUAUCUGAUGCAAUCCAGCAGAAGCCAGACACAGAAGAUAUUCAUUAUGGAUCUAUCUCCUUCCAGGAUAAAGCACAAUCUGGGCGUUGUGAUGGAAAAUUGCCCUCCAACCAAGAGACAGUAAUGGUCAGUACAUUUAUUCCUUGUGGUGAAAUACCAAGUAGCGCAUUCUCAAUUUCUGGAAGCUUCUGCAAAGUUUCGCUGAUAUACGAAUAUUCGCCAACAAAUUGUAUUAACGUGAUUAUUUUCUCUUUUAGUACCUGGCUCUUUCAAGGAACGACGAUUCAUCUGCCAUCUAUGCACAAAUAGCACAAACAGCACAAACAAAAAUGUGAAUGAAAAGAAAAAAAAAUGAUAUUCCACUCCCUGAGACGGGAAUGUAGAAUGAAGCUUUUUUGUGAACUAAUUUUUUUACUUUCCAACUGCUGUAGCUUUUAUCUUUUGUAUUGGGGGAAUAGCCAGGCUGGGGCUCAGAGAGUGGGGAGAGGUGUAAAUAUGGCCAGAUAAAUCAUUUUAGAUGUGCAUGCAAACAAUCCAAAGGCAAAGGAGGCAGCAUAGGCAGUCCAAGCCUUUUUCCUAGGUUGGAAAUACCAAAUACUAAAGGGCAUAGCUCUAACAUGCAG